UGAAUUUGGUGCUGGGUGGCGAGGUGGUGUUGGGGGAAGAGCUAGGCUAAGGAGAGCUUCCUCUUGCUCUGCCCCUUCCCAUCUCAAAUGGCCGCUUCCUGGGGAGAUGGGUUCGUUGGGAGGCUAACUACAACGUUACAGUGAGGACGAGGAAUCCUCUUUAGUCCCGUAGGUAUUUGCUGCCAGGCCGCAGCGUUGAUUUCAGAAAUUGUAUUUAAAAAAGGAAAAAGAAAGGAAAUCCGUAUUCUUUAACAUACUCUCUUUUCUCGGAGAGUAGAUGUAGGAGCUUCAGCAGUGCCCUUCCUCCCGAAAGGCUUCCCAGUGUCUGCUCAGACACUGAGGAGGAAAAUAGAGGAGAGCCACCCGAUAUAAAUAAAGGCAAGAAGGGGUUAUGGAUUAAGGGAAAACCACUACUUCAAAAAUUGGUGCUCUCUACAAACCGGUUAAGGGUUUGGGACCUGCAGGUGCUGCCUCCACCUGUGUGCGUUGCAGUCGUGCCUGUUGCCACUGAGCAAAACAGGGAGAGCUGCUUUGUCGAACGCGGCGUGUUAAAGCACGUGCCACUGCCUGGAAGAAAAGCACGGACUUCCCUCGUGUGGGACUUCUUCCCUAGCCAUGUGUGGUUUACCUGAUGGUUUCCCAUAAGCUGUGAAUGUUUAAAAGAAAAAAACCAACAAAACCCAAGACCAACGUUGAGAGUGGUGAGGCAGAUCCUCACCUGGGGACUCAGAAUCAGCGGUGACAUCACCAUGCGAAGCAUUGUGUGCGCUUCGGGUCGGGGCUGCUGCGAGCCUCGCAGCGGGGAGGGAGAGCGGAUGCGGGGUGCCUCUGUGUCAGCCCUCUGCCCUGGUGGCUUCGUGAGCACUGAGAGUUUGACUCCUGUGUUGCCAGCUUUCGCUUCCGCACCUGCGGUGUGGCAGAGCCAGCGAGCUGCUUCCUCAGCUGGAGGAGGAAGAGGAGUGACCUCAACGUUGCCGAGCUUUGGAGAAAGUGAAGCAGAGAAAACCACACAUAACCACUGAUAGCUGGACCCCAAACUGCCACAGACUGACAGUGAUGCCCACUGGAUAUCUCCUGAGACCCUGCUGCCUUCUGCCUGCUCCAGCAGAAGUCCCGUUUGAAUUAGCCAGCAGGUCCCUCUGAGUGGCUUUGCUAAAACUCCCGCCGUAGGAAGUAUCCUACGGGAGCCAAGUUGCUAAACUGAUGGGUGGGUUUCCCUUAACCCCCUCACCCCUGACUUCCCAGCUCCUGACGACACUGCCAACGUGUGCAGUGUCACCGUGUGCCAACUAGGUGCCAGCUGCCAUGGUUUGUAUAUUGUAAAAGGAGUGAUUUGGGACUCGUGAGCACUGAGAACAGGUUAGCAAUUGCUUAAGAGCUUUACUUGUGUCGCUCUGGGGCAGGGAGAUGGGUGAAACAUCUUAGGCUUGAAAGUGAUUCCCUGCAGAGUGACGUGCUCAGAUCUGCACAACAGAUCUGUCGUUCUGGUCACCUUAUUAGAUCCCUGCUUGAGAGGGUGCUUGCAAGAAUCCAUUCCUCUUCACCUUGAUGUGUCAAGCUAAAGAGAAAUCCGUGCCGAAGCACUGUCUGAUCAGACGCGUGCCUCGGUUCAGGAUUGUUCUUUGACAGCUGCAGAAACACCAGGACAGUCGGCGCCUUCAGGAACAGAUUAAUUUGAUCUUGAGGCUGUCAUAAAACAGGUCCCUGAAGUUUGAAGACUCUUCCAAUAGUUUGGGCCAGCAAGGAGCAGCUGUAGCUGGCGGCUGCGGUAACUCGGGGCUCAGAGUCUCAGAGAGCGUGGUGAAAGGUGACCCCCAGCUGGCUGCUGGAGGAAGCUGAGGCAGCGUUCAGCUCUAACCUUUGCCUUCUUGGCUGGCAUCUUUGCACUCCUGCUGUCAGUGGGUGUUGAGUGUCCUUCCCCCCAGCCUCAGAACGUGCCCUCAGAUGUAGGCAGCGUUUAGCAGCUAGAAUUCACUCCAAUAUAAAGAGUACAAAUCAUGCGUUUUCUGCUUUUGCUUUGGAACUCUUAGCUUGAGGUUUUCCUGCAGGCCAUGAGGUUUCUUGCAGCAGCAGGGAGGAGUUCUGUUAGCAAGAGGCUGUUCUGUGCUUCGACUGUGGGAAGAUGAAUGGUUCCCUGUGCACCGUUAAAUAGAACUUGACACCUAGCACACCGCACUUGCAGCCUGUGGGGUGCUUUAACAAGCAGGUAAAUCAGCAGAGGCUGUUUUGCAGCCGGGGUGAUGCUGGCUGAUUAAAAAGCAGGGGCAGAACA